UACGUAGGUGGCAAGCGUUGUCCGGAUUUAUUGGGUUUAAAGGGUGCGUAGGCGGCCCUGUAAGUCAGUGCUGAAAUAUCCCGGCUUAACCGGGAGGGUGGCAUUGAUACUGCGGGGCUAGAGUACAGAUGAGGUAGGCGGAAUUGACGGUGUAGCGGUGAAAUGCGCAGAUAUCAGGAAGAACACCCGUGGCGAAGGCGGUUCUCUGGGACGGUACUGACGCUGAGACGCGAAAGCGUGGGGAGCGAACAGG
rnacentral:rRNA from 1 species